GUACCUAACAGUGGGUACAAUAUUAAAUUCAAACGACGUCGUAGAUUAAUUAUAGAUGAUAGAUCAUCUCUAAAAACUCCAUUGGCUGUCUAGCCUGGACAAACUUCACUCCUCCCUCUGACUCUGCAACACAAGUCUCUCUCUCUAGCACGGCGGCCAUGGAUGACCUUCCAUUACAGAAGAUACAAAUAUCGGGCCCCACGUUAGCCUCUUUGAUCCAACGUUUCUCUUCCUCUCCAGGUGACGUAGAUGGCGUCCUCUUCGGCCACGUCACCCACAUCACUCCCUCCUCCUUCUCCGACGACCCUGCCACCGUCGCCGACGCCGCCACCACCUCCUCCGACUCCCCCACCCUCGUCGCCACGAUCACCUCCUUCUUCUGCUCCACCUCCACCUCCACCUUCUAUGACUCCACAGGUCACCUCAACGUCCUCUCUCUCCGCCGCCUCGUCUCCCCCGACCGAACCCCCCUCAUCGGUUGGUUCUCCGGCCGCCGUAAAACCCCCCUCCGCCCUUCCUUGCGUGAGUCCUCCGUCACAUCCUCUCUCUCCUCCAAAAUCCAAUUUUCUUUCCAAAUCGAGAACUCCCCCAAAUCCUACACUCUCUCCCCAUGCAUCUUCCUCCUCCUCACGACGCCGUUUCAAGAUCAACUGAUCCACACACAUGAAUACCGUGCAUACCAGUUCCGUUUAUCCACCGACUCCUUUGAGCCCAAAACCCUAGAUGUGGUCAACAUUGGACCGGCAUUUCGAGGGCAUUACGGUCUGUUUUGCCCUAAUUCACCGUUUCCGUCGUUGUCGUGUGAAUUGAGGAAUGUGAAUGCAUCAUCGAUGGUGGUGGAGGAUGGGAAGAGUGAGGCUGAGAAUUUGAAGAGUGUGAAGAUGGGUUCUAAGGAUCAGAAGGAGUUGAAUAUGUGUGCAGAAGGGUUCGAGGUUGCUCGGUUGAGUCGGCUGAUGGGGUCGGAGGCAACAAAUUAUACAGCGGAGUUGGAGGAAUUGUACAAGAAGAUGCUAUCGAAGCUUGAUGGGUUGGCGAGGCUUGUGGAAAAGAGUUCAGCUAAGGUUCUUGAACAGGAAAAUCACAAUAUGAAAUUGAGACACAAAGUUGCUGCCUUGGAAUUCAAAGUUGCUGGCUUGGAAUGAUUAUUUGCGGCUUAGUGGUGUUAUAUUUGGUUCUUUGAAGGUACAGAGAUAUGUCAUUGUUAGAUAUUGAGGUGUCUUGUCUUUCACACAGGUCUAAAGCAUAUAGAAUGAAAGAGGAUUGUGGUGGGAAGGCUGCCUAUCUAAAACUUGCAGUCUACCUUGUGAACCUGGAAGGUGCCCAUCAAAUCUUGCAGCUUGGCUUGUUGAAUUCAAUAUAUAUAAAAAUUAUGCUGUUAAAGCUUCAUGAGUUUGGAUUUUUUGGUGUAUUCAAGAUGAAGACGAUUACCUUGGAGUUAUUUUGUGUGUACACCACCUGUGUUAUUGUCAUCAUUUGUGUUCUAUAUGUUUUCUUCUUGGUUUGGUGCUUAUAUGUUGAAAGUGACAGAAAAAUGGAAUGGAAAAAUGGACUUUUGGCUGUUCC